rnacentral:rRNA from 1 species
AGUGAACGCUGGCGGUAGGCCUAACACAUGCAAGUCGAACGGCAGCACAGUAAGAGCUUGCUCUUACGGGUGGCGAGUGGCGGACGGGUGAGGAAUACAUCGGAAUCUACUUUUUCGUGGGGGAUAACGUAGGGAAACUUACGCUAAUACCGCAUACGACCUACCGGUGAAAGCAGGGGAUCUUCUGACCUUGCGCGAAUGAAUGAGCCGAUGUCGGAUUAGCUAGUUGGCGGGGUAAAGGCCCACCAAGGCGACGAUCCGUAGCUGGUCUGAGAGGAUGAUCAGCGACACUGGAGCUGAGACACGGUCCAGACUCCUACGGGAGGCAGCAGUGGGGAAUAUUGGACAAAGGGCGCAAGCCUGAUCCAGCCAUACCGCGUGGGUGAAGAAGGCCUUCGGGUUGUAAAGCCCUUUUGUUGGGAAAGAAAAGCAGCAGGUUAAUACCCCGCUGUUCUGACGGUACCCAAAGAAUAAGCACCGGCUAACUUCGUG